UGUACUGCUAUCCACCUAUAAAUGGUAGAUAAUUACGGGCGCAUUAGUGCUAUGAUGAGGAGGGGAUAAGUUGGAAUUCAUUAAGUCCCCCCUAAUUCCUGCAAUAAGUCCUCUAUUUAUAUAUUGCUAUGAUAACGAGAGGAUAAAUGGGAAUUCAUUAAUGCCCCCUAAUUCCUGCGAUAAGUCCUCUCUCUAUAUAUGAUCACCAUCAUGGCGAAUACUGGCAUCCAUCGACUAGACUAGAAAAACAACACUAGCUGCCCAGAAGAAGAGGAAUUGCAAGAACCCAUUCACCAUGGCACGUCCAAGGAACGACACACAUAUUUUGUUCUUGGUUGUAGCUCUUCUGGUCAUGUCUACCGCCUUCCUGCCCUGUAACGCAGAUAGUAAGAACAUACAUUUCUCCUGUACAAUAUUUUUUUUUGAAGCAAGGCAAAUACUUUGCUUUUUAUAUUGAUAUAUAGUAGGAGCAAAGGACAACCGGGCCGAAGCCAAAAACAGAAGAAAAAAAAGAAUAUAUGCUUCCAUCAUCUUCUUCUUUAUAGAUCUGUUCUUUCUUUCCCUUGGUACAAAACUGACAGUUCAUCUCUGUUCGUGCCGCUGUGCAGUCGACCCACCCAGCUGGUGCACGCCGGAGGCGGUUUGCCAGGACCCGGUUACGCCGGGAAACAGGGAAACGUGCAAAAGCAUCUGCAAAAGUUUUGGCUACAACCCGGAACAAGCCUACUGCAAUCCCGAUCCCACUCCGAGGUGCUGCUGCAUCUAUUAAGCGCAGGAAAUAACAAUGCCACUGGAGUGGCAGAUGAUGGAUGACAAAGCUAGCAAACUCACUUUUAUGUGUCCAUUUCGACUUAUGUAAAAAUCGGAACAGAUCAUGGUCCAGGCCUGUCCGUCAAUUAAUAAAGAUUAGAAAAAGUUUCUUUUAUAGGCUAGUUUGCAGAAUUAAUAAAUGAUCCAUCUGUAAAAUUGGAAUGUCUUGACUAAAGACGCGAAAUUUACUCUUUGUUCAAGCGGACACAAAUAUAAAGGCAACGAGCACCCCUUCAUAGCCCAACGAGAUAGCCAGCACGUAGUCGGGUCACAGUAUAAGGACAAAAAUGG
rnacentral:lncRNA from 1 species